rnacentral:lncRNA from 1 species
GAAGAAACGGUGUGGCUGCAACACAGGGGAAAGGGGCAAAUGGUGUAAAAUAAGGCCAGUGGCAGGCAGGUGCCAGACGGCGUAAAACCCGAAGACUGUGUAAGAGCAGGCCAGCAUGGCUCUAAAGGCAAUAGGAUGACACCAUACGGUUUUAGAACCCGGACAGACGUGCUCCUAAUUUCAAGAUCACUUCUGCUGCUGUGAGAAUGGAGUAGUCCAGGAGUGAGGCGCGAGGACCCUCCCGCACUCACCAGGUCCGGCCGGUAGUACCUGUGCACCACCUCCGCGCCGGCGCACAUGGCCAGGAGACUGGCGGCGAACAUUUUCAGGGCCGCACCCACAGCAUAUUCCAUAUUCCCAAGCUAGGGGUUGAAUCAGAGGUGCAGCUGCCAGCCUAUACCACAGCUACAGCAACAUGGUAUCUGGGCCACGGCUUCAACCUACAACACAGCUUCAACCUACAACACAGCUCACAGCAAUGCUGGAUCCUUAAUCCACUGAGCAAGGCCAGGGAUCAAACCCACAUCCUUAUGGAUACUAGUCAGGUUUGUUACCACUGAGCCCCAGUGGGAACUCCGGUAUUUCAUAUUUUUUGAUGUUACUGUGAAUGGUAUUUUUUCUGAUGGUUUGUUGGUAGUAUAUAGGAUAUCACAAUUGAUUAUCCUUUACUGAUCUUUUAUUCUACAACUUUAUUAAACUCAUUUAUUCUAGUACCUUUUUUGUAGGUUUCAUAGGCUUUCCUACAUUAAACCAUACAAUGAACUCUGAAUAAAUACGGUAAGCUUUUUUUAUAGAUGUCAUUUAUCAAGUUAAGAAAGUUCCUUUCUGUUCCUAAACUGCUUAAAGUUUUCUUUAUCAGAAAUGGAUGUUGGACUUUGUCAAAUCCUUAAUCUGUAUCUAUUCAGGUGGUCAUAAGGGUUUUGAAAAAAUCGCUAAUAUGAUAAGUUACAUAGAAUGAUUUUUUCAAAUGUUAAGUUAGUCUUAUAUUACAAUCACUCCUCCACAUCCAUUGGUUCCACAGCCAGGGAUUCAACCAUUGAAAGUUAAAAAAAAAAAAAAAGUCCAUAAAGUUCCAAAAAAAAA